AACUUAGCAGAGAUGCUUUGGUGCCUUCGGGAACUCUGAGACAGGUGCUGCAUGGCUGUCGUCAGCUCGUGUUGUGAAAUGUUGGGUUAAGUCCCGCAACGAGCGCAACCCUUAUCCUUUGUUGCCAGCGGUCCGGCCGGGAACUCAAAGGAGACUGCCAGUGAUAAACUGGAGGAAGGUGGGGAUGACGUCAAGUCAUCAUGGCCCUUACGAGUAGGGCUACACACGUGCUACAAUGGCGCAUACAAAGAGAAGCGACCUCGCGAGAGCAAGCGGACCUCAUAAAGUGCGUCGUAGUCCGGAUUGGAGUCUGCAACUCGACUCCAUGAAGUCGGAAUCGCUAGUAAUCGUAGAUCAGAAUGCUACGGUGAAUACGUUCCCGGGCCUUGUACACACCGCCCGUCACACCAUGGGAGUGGGUUGCAAAAGAAGUAGGUAGCUUAACCUUCGGGAGGGCGCUUACCACUUUGUGAUUCAUGACUGGGGUGAAGUCGUAACAAGGUAAGCGUAGACGU
rnacentral:rRNA from 1 species